rnacentral:rRNA from 1 species
GACGAACGCUGGCGGCGUGCCUAAUACACGCAAGUCGAGCGAAUCUCAGGGAGCUUGCUCCCUGAGAUUAGCGGCGGACGGGUGAGUAACACGUGGGUAACCUGCCUGUAAGACUGGGAUAACUUCGGGAAACCGGAGCUAAUACCGGAUACGUUCUUUUCUCGCAUGAGAAGAGAUGGAAAGAUGGUUCUGCUAUCACUUACAGAUGGACCCGCGGCGCAUUAGCUAGUUGGUGAGGUAACGGCUCACCAAGGCGACGAUGCGUAGCCGACCUGAGAGGGUGAUCGGCCACACUGGGACUGAGACACGGCCCAGACUCCUACGGGAGGCAGCAGUAGGGAAUCUUCCGCAAUGGACGAAAGUCUGACGGAGCAACGCCGCGUGGGCGAAGAAGGCCUUCGGGUCGUAAAGCUCUGUUGUUAGGGAAGAACAAGUACGAGAGUAACUGCUCGUACCUUGACGGUACCUAACCAGAAAGCCACGGCUAACUACGUGCCAGCAGCCGCGGUAACAC